rnacentral:rRNA from 1 species
UACGAAGGGAGCUAGCGUUGUUCGGAAUCACUGGGCGUAAAGCGCACGUAGGCGGAUGUGUCAGUCAGGGGUGAAAUCCCGGAGCUCAACUUCGGAACUGCCUUUAAAACUGCAUCGCUUGAAUCCAGGAGAGGUGAGUGGAAUUCCGAGUGUAGAGGUGAAAUUCGUAGAUAUUCGCAAGAACACCAGUGGCGAAGGCGGCUCACUGGCCCGGUACUGACGCGUGAGGUGCGAAAGCGUGGGGAGCAAACAGG